rnacentral:rRNA from 1 species
CCUACGGGAGGCUGCAGUGGGGAAUAUUGGACAAUGGGCGAAAACCUGAUCCAGCCAUGCCGCGUGUGUGAAGAAGGCCUUCGGGUUGUAAAGCACUUUCAGUGGGGAAGAAAGCCUUGGGGCUAAUACCCUCGAGGAAGGACAUCACCCACAGAAGAAGCACCGGCUAACUCCGUGCCAGCAGCCGCGGUAAUACGGAGGGUGCGAGCGUUAAUCGGAAUUACUGGGCGUAAAGCGCGCGUAGGCGGUCUGAUAAGCCGGUUGUGAAAGCCCCGGGCUCAACCUGGGAACGGCAUCCGGAACUGUCAGGCUAGAGUGCAGGAGAGGAAGGUAGAAUUCCCGGUGUAGCGGUGAAAUGCGUAGAGAUCGGGAGGAAUACCAGUGGCGAAGGCGGCCUUCUGGACUGACACUGACGCUGAGGUGCGAAAGCGUGGGUAGCAAACAGGAUUAGAUACCCCAGUAGUC